GCCAGGCAUCUUUUGUCCAGAACACGAGCUGUGUCAAACCUUACGAUGCCUCCACUCAAUAUUCUGGCGAUCGUCGUCAUUUCAGUUGCUAUCACCUCCAUAACGCACAGCACAGGACACACGCGGAACAGCAACACUGGUACCUGUACUGCUGUUGGGAAGUAUUGCCUUACAGGCGACAAUAGCACUGAGAAGUGCCCGGAUGGUUGCGAGUGUAUCGUCAUGGAAGCGGAAGGAAUCAACUCUCAACAAGGAAAUUGCUCUAAUCCAAAGACAUUGCGAUGAUCUUUUUAUCCGGACAUGAAAUAAAGUCUUUCAAUAUUACA